rnacentral:tRNA from 1 species
ACCUGGCUGGCUCAGUCAGUAGAGCAUGUGACUCUUGAUCUCAGGGUUAUGGGUUCGAGCCCCAUCUUGGAUG